UGGAGGAGGAAAGGGAUGGAGAAAGGAAAGCAGGAAGGAGACCCAUCCGUCACUUCCACAGCCUUGGACAACAGGAUCCCAUUAUCCAUUCGGCCUUCUCUUGAAAACUUCUCAUUUUUUCUGGAGCUGCCUCCCUUUUUCCUUGCUAUGUUUUGCUCUCCAAGAUCACUCAGUCGUUCAGCAGUCCUCCCGGUCCCUCUCGCGGUGAAAUGUUCAUCUCUGGCCGUGUGCCUCCUGCAGAAGAGACUGCCGUCAGCCAGCGAAUCAGCACUUCAAGUGGCAAGACAGCUUCUUCUCCAGCAGCAACAGCAGCAAGUUAGUGGAUUAAAGUCUCCCAAGAGGAAUGACAAACAGCCAGCCCUUCAGGUUCCCGUGUCAGUGGCUAUGAUGACACCUCAAGUUAUCACUCCCCAGCAAAUGCAGCAGAUCCUCCAGCAACAAGUGCUGAGCCCUCAGCAGCUCCAGGUUCUCCUCCAGCAGCAGCAGGCCCUCAUGCUUCAGCAGCAGCAGCUUCAAGAGUUUUAUAAAAAACAACAGGAACAGUUGCAGCUUCAACUUUUACAACAACAUGCUGGAAAACAGCCUAAAGAGCAACAGCAGGUGGCUACCCAGCAGUUGGCUUUCCAGCAGCAACUUUUACAGAUGCAGCAGCUACAGCAGCAACACCUUCUGUCUUUGCAGCGCCAAGGCCUUCUAACAAUCCAGCCGGGGCAGCCUGCCCUUCCCCUCCAACCCCUUGCUCAAGGCAUGAUUCCAACAGAACUGCAGCAGCUCUGGAAAGAAGUGACAAGUGCUCAUACGACAGAAGAAACCACGGGCAACAAUCACAGCAGUUUGGAUCUGACCACGACAUGUGUCUCUUCCUCUGCACCUUCCAAGACCUCCUUAAUAAUGAACCCACAUGCCUCUACCAACGGACAGCUGUCAGUCCACACUCCCAAAAGGGAAAGUUUGUCCCAUGAGGAGCACCCCCAUAGCCAUCCUCUGUAUGGACACGGCGUAUGCAAGUGGCCUGGCUGUGAAGCGGUGUGUGAAGAUUUCCAAUCAUUUCUAAAACAUCUCAACAGUGAGCAUGCGCUGGACGAUAGAAGUACAGCCCAAUGUAGAGUACAAAUGCAGGUUGUACAGCAGUUAGAGCUACAGCUUGCAAAAGACAAAGAGCGCCUGCAAGCCAUGAUGACCCACCUGCACGUGAAGUCUACGGAACCCAAAACUGCCCCUCAGCCCCUGAAUCUGGUAUCAAGUGUCACACUCUCCAAGUCUGCGUCAGAGGCUUCUCCACAGAGCUUACCUCAUACUCCUACGACCCCCACUGCCCCCAUCACUCCCGUCACCCAAGGCCCCUCCGUCAUCACCACCACCAGCAUGCACACGGUGGGACCCAUCCGCAGGCGGUACUCAGACAAAUACAACGUGCCCAUCUCUUCAGCAGAUAUUGCGCAGAACCAAGAAUUUUAUAAGAACGCAGAAGUUAGACCACCAUUUACAUAUGCAUCUUUAAUUAGGCAGGCCAUUCUCGAAUCCCCAGAAAAGCAGCUAACACUAAACGAAAUCUAUAACUGGUUCACACGAAUGUUUGCUUACUUCCGGCGUAAUGCUGCCACAUGGAAGAAUGCAGUGCGUCAUAAUCUUAGUCUUCACAAGUGUUUUGUGCGAGUAGAAAACGUUAAAGGGGCAGUAUGGACAGUGGAUGAAGUAGAGUUCCAAAAACGAAGGCCACAAAAGAUCAGUGGUAACCCUUCCCUUAUUAAAAACAUGCAGACCAGCCACGCCUACUGUACACCUCUCAAUGCAGCUUUACAGGCUUCGAUGGCUGAGAACAGUAUACCUCUAUACACUACCGCUUCCAUGGGAAACCCCACUCUGGGCAACCUAGCCAGUGCCAUACGGGAAGAGCUGAACGGGGCGAUGGAGCACACCAACAGCAACGAGAGCGACAGCAGCCCGGGCAGAUCCCCUAUGCAAGCCGUGUGAGUACCCGCCACCCCAGAACGCCUUUGCCGUCAGAUCCCGGUCCCCCUGGUCGAGGUGCACACCAGCCCCUUCUCCUCGGGCGGCUUUUGACACCUUUUCUGUAACUUCUGAUUUCCUAGAACCCAGCUAGAAGCGGGUGCGUCCAGAAACCUUUACCUCGGUUCGCACCUAGGAGGACCAUUUACUGAUGUUCCCGUUACGGCAAUAGGCUUCAUGCAGCCCCACGAGUGCCCAAGGCCAUAAAAUGGGUGACGCCUGUGCUUUUCACCUUCGCUGGCUCGGCUCAGGCCAUUAUUUCAGCCACACUACCUUUUCCUCCUAGCAGUAGAACGCAUCCCGGUGACAGAGGUCUGGGCUGUCUGUUCCCCGUGCGGGCGGGCUGAACCUAGCAGGGAGGCAAAGGAUGCUUGGUUACUUGGUUACGUGGUAACGCGGAAGCGCAGACGCCACGCCGAAGCGUCAUUACCAAGCACUGACGAUGGCACGAACGAAAGGCGACAUGAUUUAUAGAUUGCUCUUAAACUAUCAAAAGGAAAAUUAAUAGGAGCAUUAUAGCAGCAGACGGCAGUAUAAUGAGCACGCCUAGAAGCGUACGGAGUGAGGGACGAGGGCUGUCCCAGGCUGCAUGUGCGUGGCAUCAGGGCCGUGCCUGGUGCCCCUUUUGGCUGGGUGAUGGGAGGCAGGCGGGGUGACGGUAACGACUCCCUCUCUCCCAGGAAAAGUUUUAAAAGAGCAAAGAACGCACAUUUCCCCAGAGAGGAUUGGCGGGGGAUGCUUUCGAAUGACAGCCUCUGGCUUGGAGCGAGUCUCUGCGCAACCCGCUGCCCGCUUUAAAGGGAUAAACCUAUUCAGUGUUGGCCAUGCUGGCAGCUCUUAGAAACGAACCCCUUGUCUACGCAGUGUUUCUGAAUUCCUGACCAACGUCUUAUUUUAAGAGCAUUCUCGUAGCAUUUACUCCACAGCGUUUUAAGAAUGUGUUUCUCUCUCACGCUGCUACUGCCAUCCAUCAUCCUUCGUCAAGCAACCUGGUCUUUCUGACUCUAUUAUCACACCCGUAUCCAUCUCGAAAUCGUUGUCACGGCAGGAGUAUUUACUAAGCAUCCUGUACAUGUCAAAGAAGAGCCCCUGGAUCCCGAGGAAGCUGAAGGGCCGCUAUCCCUAGUGACAACAGCCAACCACAGUCCAG